rnacentral:rRNA from 1 species
GUGGCGAACGGGUGAGUAGCACAUGGGCAACCUGCCCUUCAGAGGGGGACAACAGCUGGAAACGGCUGCUAAGACCGCAUAGGCGCGGACGGGACAUCCCGUCCACGUUAAACGUCCUUUAGGGGACGGCUGAAGGAUGGGCCUGUGGCGCAUUAGCUUGUUGGCGGGGCAACGGCCCACCAAGGCGACGAUGCGUAGCCGGCCUGAGAGGGCGGACGGCCACACUGGGACUGAGACACGGCCCAGACUCCUACGGGAGGCAGCAGUAGGGAAUUUUCGGCAAUGGGGGGAACCCUGACCGAGCAACGCCGCGUGAACGAGGAAGGCCUUCGGGCCGUAAAGUUCUGUUGCGAAGGAAGAACGCCGGAGGGAGGAAAUGGCCUCCGGGUGACGGUACUUCGCGAGAAAGCCACGGCUAACUACGUGCCAGCAGCCGCGGUAAUACGUAGGUGGCGAGCGUUAUCCGGAAUCAUUGGGCGUAAAGAGGGAGCAGGCGGCCGUGAGGGUCUGUGGUAAAAGACUGAAGCUCAACUUCAGUGAGCCAUGGAAACCGGACGGCUGGAGUGCGGCAGAGGAUCGUGGAAUUCCAUGUGUAGCGGUGAAAUGCGUAGAUAUAUGGAGGAACACCAGUGGCGAAGGCGACGGUCUGGGCCUGCACUGACGCUCAUUCCCGAAAGCGUGGGGAGCAAAUAGGAUUAGAUACCCUAGUAGUCCACGCCGUAAACGAUCGAUACCAGGUGUCGGGGGAGAAGCCCCCGGUGCCGGAGUCUACGCAUUAAGUAUCGCGCCUGAGUAGUACG